UAGCAAAUGGGGCAAUCUACUAAACCAUAUGAAUCCCUAAUGCGAAACCCUAUUCCUAACAAGCAAAUUACUCAGAUAUAUUGGAUGAAGCAAACAACAUGAUUGAGUGUGAAAGUAUAAACACAGUAAAUAGAGAAGGGGAAAGAAUGGAUCUCUUCACUAUAUUAAGAUCUGAAUAAAACUCUGAAAACAAUCGACGAAUGGCUUAUGUCUCUCAGUAAUAGGGUUUGUAGAAAACUUGAUAAAAGACUUGAUAAAAGAAACUUAGGUCUAAAAACAAUAUAUAUAGACCCUAAAAAUGUCCAGGGACUAAUAAUGCAAAUAGGAAAGUCUUCUAGAGCAAAUUUGAUCUUCUGGAAACUUGAAAGCGUCUAGGGUUUUUGCUGGGCCGAAACUGGUGUCGAUCGACACCAAGAGUAUGUCGAUCGUCACUCCUCGCUGAUUCCUGAACCAAAAUCGUCCUUAGCUUCCUUUUCCUUAGCUUUUGCUCCAAAAUGUCUCCUUAUCUCCAUUGUUGUCCAUUGCAUAGAAUACCUGAAAAGACACUAAAAAGACUCGAGAAAUAACAUAAAGACUCAAAAUCCUAUAUUUAAAACAUAGAUAAAUUCGGUGAAAAUCGGGUUAUAUCACUAAUACUCAAAACGACAUAGUAUUGGGACGGAUUAAGAACGGUACUCAACCUAGGUGGUCGAGUAAUGCGUCGAGUGAUGAGUUGGAGUCCUCUUCUCUUCCUUGUGCUCGAAUGUCUGGUUGAGUGCAGAAUUGAGAAGACUCUGAAGCUGGCAGUCGAGUAUGAUGUCGAGUGGUGGAUGAUGGUGGAACUCAACUUGGUGGCAGAGUGAUUGAUCGAAUGAAUGAUGAUGGUCGGACUCGACC
rnacentral:sRNA from 1 species